rnacentral:lncRNA from 1 species
UGAGUAUCCAUAAUAUUUUUUAUUGUUAUUAAUGCAACAUGAUUUCAGCCCCUUUAAUUAAUUUAAAUUAAUGGGACAUCGUUCCCAUCCUAUUUAAAUAAUUGAUUGACUUAGAGCCCACUAAUACGAAAGCAUCAACAAGUAUUUAAUAGGAUCGUCACUCGAUCCUGGCUCCAUGCAGCGCGCCCUGUUACCGAUGAAUCAAUUCUGUGUCUCCCUGCUCAUGACACGCUUCUGGCAGCUCGGCAGGACCGUGGCCAUGUGCUUUCCCUUCCAGCAGUCAGGAGGGAUGUCUGACGUUUGCAUGCAGGCCAGCCUCACCAGUCCUGCAUUAACCUCGCUUUCACUGAUGUGCACAGCAGGCUCCAGCCCCGCUUUGCAGGCACUGGACGUGCAGACCCAGGGGCCUCCUGCCCGCGCUCUGAGAGGAAGAGGAGAGCGAAGCUGCGUGGGCUGGGGCAUCGCGACCAGGCAGGACAGGGCUGGCAGCAGCCUCUUGCUGCUGGCCUGGAUUAAAACUGGAAAAACCCUUCUGUUGAAGAAAGGAGAGCCUUGGCAAAGAUCACUUCUCCCAGGAGCAUCCUUCAGUGGCUCUGGCCCCGCAGGCAGGAGCGUGCCAGAGCAGCAGCCAGGCAGUGCAGGGGAUGCUUUCCGCAGAGCAGCUCUUGCUUUACGGCUCUGGGGCUCUGGACCUGGAGGUAAAGGAUCAGGACCCCAUGAGAUGGGGGCAGGGGAUGCCAAAUGGGCCAGGAGAGCAAGUGCUAGAUCACGGAUUUAAUGUGUUCCUGCAAAUGUCAACAAAAUUAUACACAUAUUUUCAUUUUUUACUUAUUUGACCCAUUAACUAACUACAAAAUGUCUCAGUAAUCCCCAGCAGAUGAGCAUCAAAGACCAGACCUAUGGUCCUGGCUAAUCCCUUUAUCAUGAAGUAAUGCUACAGAAAUCAAAUACCAGCAGUAAAUCGGGAGAUUAACAACAAGCUGGGAAAUGCUCAAAUUAAAUUGCAAUCUCCCUUGCUGCUUUGCACAAGCCGACGGUGCCAUUUCUGCUCCAGCCACUGCAGCCUUCCCAGCAGGAAAACAAGGUUAGAAAUCACUUUAUAGAAAUGAAAAUAUACUUUAAUCCCUGAUCCCGUCAGUAAAUAGUCUGCCCAGAGCGAGCUGGAGCCCAUGCAGCCCUCCCCAGCCCUGCAUGCCUUUGGCCUGGGGGUGGCAGAGCUGCCAGCACUUCCAAACGUGCUGGGCAAACCAAAGCUGGAGAGGGUCUGUUCCGGCAGCGUGGGCUGUGCCCUGGCUCCACUUUUAUUACACCGUAACAUCCAAAUUAAUAUUUUAUUCACUCCCUUAAGAACAUCCCCACAAAUGCACAUUUUAAUAAAACAUGAGGCUGCAUUUUUGGCA